rnacentral:misc_RNA from 1 species
GUGGCUCCAGUAAGUGAACUUGGAAAUAGCCUUAAUUUGUAACUAAUGAAAUUCCAUAAUUCGCCAACUCUCCACAUUGAAUUGUGAAUUUGGAAUAUUCUCCAAAGUUAACUACCCAUCCUUUCCUAAAAAAACACUAAACUCAGGAAUGCAGUAACCUCCUGGGUAUGGGUUCUCCCUGUCAAUGGCAUUAAGAUAUGGC